rnacentral:tRNA from 1 species
GGGAAGGUAGCUCAGUGGUAGAGUUCUUGCCUUGCAUGCAUGAGGCCCUGGGUUUGAUUCCUCAGCACCA